rnacentral:rRNA from 1 species
AACGAACGCUGGCGGCAUGCCUAACACAUGCAAGUCGAACGAGAUCUUCGGGUCUAGUGGCGCACGGGUGCGUAACGCGUGGGAAUCUGCCCUUUGGUUCGGAAUAACAGUUGGAAACGACUGCUAAUACCGGAUGAUGACGAAAGUCCAAAGAUUUAUCGCCAGAGGAUGAGCCCGCGUAGGAUUAGCUAGUUGGUGUGGUAAAGGCGCACCAAGGCGACGAUCCUUAGCUGGUCUGAGAGGAUGAUCAGGCACACUGGGACUGAGACACGGCCCGGACUCCUACGGGAGGCAGCAGUGGGGAAUAUUGGACAAUGGGCGAGAGCCUGAUCCAGCAAUGCCGCGUGAGUGAUGAAGGCCUUAGGGUUGUAAAGCUCUUUUACCCGGGAUGAUAAUGACAGUACCGGGAGAAUAAGCUCCGGCUAACUCCGUGCCAGCCGCCGCCGUAA